rnacentral:rRNA from 1 species
UACAGAGGGGGCAAGCGUUGUUCGGAAUUACUGGGCGUAAAGGGCGCGUAGGCGGCCUUCUAAGUCCGACGUGAAAUCCCAAAGCUUAACUUUGGAACUGCGUCGGAUACUGGAUGGCUUGAAUUCGGGAGAGGGAUGCAGAAUUCCAGGUGUAGCGGUGAAAUGCGUAGAUAUCUGGAGGAAUACCGGUGGCGAAGGCGGCAUCCUGGACCGACAUUGACGCUGAUGAGCGAAAGCUAGGGGAGCAAACGGG